GAUGAACGCUGGCGGCGUGCCUAACACAUGCAAGUCGAGCGAUUCUCUUCGGAGAAGAGCGGCGGACGGGUGAGUAAUGCGUGGGUAACCUGCCCUGUACACACGGAUAACAUACCGAAAGGUAUGCUAACACGAGAUAAUAUACUUUUAUCGCAUGGUAGAAGUAUCAAAGCUCCGGCGGUACAGGAUGGAACCGCGUCUGAUUAGCUAGUUGGUAAGGUAACGGCUUACCAAGGCGACGAUCAGUAGCCGACCUGAGAGGGUGAUCGGCCACAUUGGAACUGAGACACGGUCCAAACUCCUACGGGAGGCAGCAGUGGGGAAUAUUGCACAAUGGGCGAAAGCCUGAUGCAGCAACGCCGCGUGAGCGAUGAAGGCCUUCGGGUCGUAAAGCUCUGUCCUCAAGGAAGAUAAUGACGGUACUUGAGGAGGAAGCCCCGGCUAACUACGUGCCAGCCGCCGCAGUAA
rnacentral:rRNA from 1 species